CACGUAGGGCGCAAGCGUGUCCGGAAUUAUUGGGCGUAAAGAGCUCGUAGGCGGUCUGUUGCGUCCGCUGUGAAAACCCGGGGCUUAACCCCUGGCUUGCAGUGGAUACGGACAGACUAGAGGUAGGUAGGGGAGAAUGGAAUUCCCGGGUGAGCGGUGGAAAUGCGUAGAGAUCGGAAGGAACACCGUGUGGAGGAAGGCGGCUGGCCAGC
rnacentral:rRNA from 1 species